rnacentral:rRNA from 1 species
AGUGAACGCUGGCGGUAGGCCUAACACAUGCAAGUCGAACGGCAGCACAGGAGAGCUUGCUCUCUGGGUGGCGAGUGGCGGACGGGUGAGGAAUACAUCGGAAUCUACUCUGUCGUGGGGGAUAACGUAGGGAAACUUACGCUAAUACCGCAUACGACCUACGGGUGAAAGCAGGAGAUCUUCGGACCUUGCGCGACUGAAUGAGCCGAUGUCGGAGUAUCUCGUUGGCGGGGUACAGGCCCACCAAGGCGACGAUCCGUAGCUGGUCUGAGAGGAUGAUCAGCCACACUGGAACUGAGACACGGUCCAGACUCCUACGGGAGGCAGCAGUGGGGGAUAUUGGACAAUGGGCGCAAGCCUGAUCCAGCCAUACCGCGUGGGUGAAGAAGGCCUUCGGGUUGUAAAGCCCUUUUGUUGGGAAAGAAAUCCAGCUGGCUAAUACCCGGUUGGGAUGACGGUACCCAAAGAAUAAGCACCGGCUAACUUCGUGCCAGCAGCCGCCGCGG